rnacentral:rRNA from 1 species
UACGUAGGGGGCUAGCGUUAUCCGGAAUUACUGGGCGUAAAGGGUGCGUAGGCGGUCUUUCAAGCCAGAAGUGAAAGGCUACGGCUCAACCGUAGUAAGCCUUUGAAACUGGGAAACUUGAGUGCAGGAGAGGAGAGUGGAAUUCCUAGUGUAGCGGUGAAAUGCGUAGAUAUUAGGAGGAACACCAGUUGCGAAGGCGGCUCUCUGGACUGUAACUGACACUGAGGCACGAAAGCGUGGGGAGCAAACAGGAUUAGAUACCCCCGUAGUCCCUGAGCGGG